CAGCCGCCGCGGUAAUACGUAGGGCGCAAGCGUUGUCCGGAAUUAUUGGGCGUAAAGAGCUCGUAGGCGGUCUGUCGCGUCUGGUGUGAAAUCCCGAGGCUCAACCUCGGGCUUGCAUCGGGUACGGGCAGACUAGAGUGCGGUAGGGGAGACUGGAAUUCCUGGUGUAGCGGUGGAAUGCGCAGAUAUCAGGAGGAACACCGAUGGCGAAGGCAGGUCUCUGGGCCGCAACUGACGCUGAGGAGCGAAAGCAUGGGGAGCGAACAGGAUUAGAGACCCCCGUAGUCUCUGUCUCUUAUAC
rnacentral:rRNA from 1 species